GGAGCGGUGGCGUAAUGGCAGCGCAUCGGAUUGCAGAUCCGCAGGUCGGGGGUUCGAAUCCCCCUCGCUCCU